UACGUAGGUGGCAAGCGUUGUCCGGAUUUAUUGGGUUUAAAGGGUACGUAGGCGGCUUUGUAAGUCAGUGGUGAAAUAUGGCAGCUCAACUGUCAAGGUGCCAUUGAUACUGCGGAGCUUGAGUACAGAUGAGGUAGGCGGAAUUGACGGUGUAGCGGUGAAAUGCUUAGAUAUCGUCAAGAACACCUAUAGCGAAGGCAGCUUACUAGGCUGUAACUGACGCUGAGGCACGAAAGUGUGGGGAUCAAACAGG
rnacentral:rRNA from 1 species